GACGAACGCUGGCGGCGUGCUUAACACAUGCAAGUCGAACGGAAAGGCCCUGCUUUUGUGGGGUGCUCGAGUGGCGAACGGAUGAGUAACACGUGAGUAACCUGCCCUUGACUUUGGGAUAACUUCAGGAAACUGGGGCUAAUACCGGAUAGGAGCUCCUGCUGCAUGGUGGGGGUUGGAAAGUUUCGGCGGUUGGGGAUGGACUCGCGGCUUAUCAGCUUGUUGGUGGGGUAGUGGCUUACCAAGGCUUUGACGGGUAGCCGGCCUGAGAGGGUGACCGGCCACAUUGGGACUGAGAUACGGCCCAGACUCCUACGGGAGGCAGCAGUGGGGAAUAUUGCACAAUGGGCGGAAGCCUGAUGCAGCAACGCCGCGUGCGGGAUGACGGCCUUCGGGUUGUAAACCGCUUUCGCCUGUGACGAAGCGUGAGUGACGGUAAUGGGUAAAGAAGCACCGGCUAACUACGUGCCAGCAGCCGCGGUGAUACGUAGGGUGCGAGCGUUGUCCGGAUUUAUUGGGCGUAAAGGGCUCGUAGGUGGUUGAUCGCGUCGGAAGUGUAAUCUUGGGGCUUAACCCUGAGCGUGCUUUCGAUACGGGUUGACUUGAGGAAGGUAGGGGAGAAUGGAAUUCCUGGUGGAGCGGUGGAAUGCGCAGAUAUCAGGAGGAACACCAGUGGCGAAGGCGGUUCUCUGGGCCUUUCCUGACGCUGAGGAGCGAAAGCGUGGGGAGCGAACAGGCUUAGAUACCCUGGUAGUCCACGCUGUAAACGGUGGGUACUAGGUGUGGGAUCCAUUCCACGGGUUCCGUGCCGUAGCUAACGCUUUAAGUACCCCGCCUGGGGAGUACGGCCGCAAGGCUAAAACUCAAAGGAAUUGACGGGGCCCCGCACAAGCGGCGGAGCAUGCGGAUUAAUUCGAUGCAACGCGUAGAACCUUACCUGGGUUUGACAUGGAUCGGGAGUGCUCAGAGAUGGGUGUGCCUCUUUUGGGGUCGGUUCACAGGUGGUGCAUGGCUGUCGUCAGCUCGUGUCGUGAGAUGUUGGGUUAAGUCCCGCGACGAGCGCAACCCUUGUUCACUGUUGCCGGCACGUUAUGGUGGGGACUCAGUGGAGACCGCCGGGGUCAACUCGGAGGAAGGUGGGGAUGACGUCAAGUCAUCAUGCCCCUUAUGUCCAGGGCUUCACGCAUGCUACAAUGGCUGGUACAGAGAGUGGCGAGCCUGUGAGGGUGAGCGAAUCUCGGAAAGCCGGUCUCAGUUCGGAUUGGGGUCUGCAACUCGACCUCAUGAAGUCGGAGUCGCUAGUAAUCGCAGAUCAGCAACGCUGCGGUGAAUACGUUCCCGGG
rnacentral:rRNA from 1 species